UUCCGGUUGAUCCUGCCAGAGGUUACUGCUAUCGGUGUUCGCCUAAGCCAUGCGAGUCAUAUGUAGCAAUACAUGGCGUACUGCUCAGUAACACGUGGAUAACCUGCCCUUGGGACCGGCAUAACCCCGGGAAACUGGGGAUAAUUCCGGAUAACGCAUAUUUGCUGGAAUGCUUUAUGCGUCAAAAGGAUUCGUCUGCCCAAGGACGGGUCUGCGGCCUAUCAGGUAGUAGUGGGUGUAAUGUACCUACUAGCCAGCGACGGGUACGGGUUGUGAGAGCAAGAGCCCGGAGAUGGAUUCUGAGACAUGAAUCCAGGCCCUACGGGGCGCAGCAGGCGCGAAAACUUUACACUGCGGGAAACCGCGAUAAGGGGACCCCGAGUGCCAGCACCUAGUGCUGGCUGUCCAGCUGUUCAAAUAACAGUUGUUAGCAAGGGCCGGGCAAGACCGGUGCCAGCCGCCGCGGUAACACCGGCGGCCCGAGUGGUAGCCGUUAUUAUUGGGUUUAAAGGGUCCGUAGCCGGCCUAUUAAGUCUCUUGGGAAAUCUGGCGACUCAAUCGUCAGGCGUUCAAGAGAUACUGGUAGGCUUGGGACCGGGAGAGGUGGGAGGUACUCCAGGGGUAGGGGUGAAAUCUCGUAAUCCUUGGGGGACCACCGAUGGCGAAGGCAUCCCACCAGAACGGGUCCGACGGUGAGGGACGAAAGCUGGGGGCACGAACCGGAUUAGAUACCCGGGUAGUCCCAGCCGUAAACGAUGCUCGCUAGGUGUCAGGUGCGGUGCGACCGCAUCUGGUGCCGCAGUGAAAACUUGAAGCGAGUCACCUGGGAAGUACGGUCGCAAGGCUGAAACUUAAAGGAAUUGGCGGGGGAGCACUACAACGGGUGGAGCCUGCGGUUCAAUUGGAUUCAACGCCGG
rnacentral:rRNA from 1 species